rnacentral:piRNA from 1 species
UGUGGUCAAAUUUGNGCUACCAAUAAGGAC